GGCUUCGUAGCUCAGCUGGUAGACGGCUUCCUGCGUUGAGGCGUGGUGCUUCUGUCGCUGGUUCAAAUCCAGCCGAAGCCG